AUGCUAGUCCAUGUGUUGAGAUUGCGGGGUGCAGAGGUGAUUGCACUAGGCCGCAUGUUUGAGAGAUCGCGGGGUAUGGAGAUAUCUGUACUAGGCCGUGUGUUUAGCGGGGUACAGAGACAUUUGUACUAGGCCGCUUUGUUUGAGAGAUCGCGGGGUACGGAGAUAUAUGUACUAGGCCGUGUGUUUAGCGGGGUACAUAGACGUUUGUACUAGGCCGCUUUGUUUGUGGAGAUUGCGGGGGUACAGAGUGGACUACUGUACUUACGACGCUUGUAGAGUCAUAUAUAUUUAUAUCCUUAUAAGGAAAUGUGGUAUGCUAUCAUCGCAUUGGUUGUAGCAUGUCUAGUCCACUAGACAUAUGUUGAUUGUUUUGUGUGGUGUAAUAGACGCCGUGUUUGUUUCAUGCUAGCGCUAGGCCUACAUUUUAGUAGUUCUAUGAACUCAGUCAGUGGUUUGCGGUUUAGCAUCCCCACACCUCACUGGGCGAUUCCCCUGUCGCUCACCCCUCCUUCU
rnacentral:lncRNA from 1 species